UACGUAGGGUGCGAGCGUUGUCCGGAUUUAUUGGGCGUAAAGCGCUCGUAGGCGGCUUGUUGCGUCGUCCGUGAAAACUUGGGGCUCAACCCCAAGCUUGCGGUCGAUACGGGCAGGCUAGAGUUCGGUAGGGGAGACUGGAAUUCCUGGUGUAGCGGUGAAAUGCGCAGAUAUCAGGAGGAACACCGGUGGCGAAGGCGGGUCUCUGGGCCGAUACUGACGCUGAGGAGCGAAAGCGUGGGGAGCGAACAGG
rnacentral:rRNA from 1 species